CUAGAAAUGAGAAGGCCGCACCUCCAGCAGAAAGGUAAGGGGAGCCCCUAGAGAGGGGAGUCUGGAGGGAGCAGAGCUGCUGAGCCUGAAACUGGAUGAUCCUGCUGAGUCUGUCUGCUGCUGAGCAUAUACUGAGCCUAAGACUGGCUGAUGCUGACCGUGAGACUGGCUGAUGCUGUUCAUGGCUCCUGCUGCAGACCCUGAUUACAACUGCUUCUGAGACUGGCUGCUGCUGAUCCUGAUAACAGCUGUUGAGUGUGGGCCUGGUCGCUGCUGACCCUGACUCCUAGUACUGAGCCUGGCUGCUGCUGCUGACCCUGACUCCUGGUACUGAGCCUGACUGCUGCUGCUGACCCUGACUCCUGGUACUGAGCCU